AGAGUUUGAUCAUGGCUCAGAAUCAACGCUGGCGGCGUGCCUAACACAUGCAAGUCGCACGAGAAAGUGGAGCAAUCCAUGAGUACAGUGGCGCACGGGUGAGUAACACGUGAAUGAUCUACCUCCGAGUGGGGAAUAACUGAGAGAAAUCUUAGCUAAUACCGCAUAAUACCCACGGGUCAAAGCAGCAAUGCGCUUGGAGAGGAGUUCGCGGCCGAUUAGCUAGUUGGCGGGGUAAUGGCCCACCAAGGCGAUGAUCGGUAUCCGGCCUGAGAGGGCGCACGGACACACUGGAACUGAAACACGGUCCAGACUCCUACGGGAGGCAGCAGUGGGGAAUUUUGCGCAAUGGGGGAAACCCUGACGCAGCAACGCCGCGUGGAGGAUGAAAUCCCUUGGGAUGUAAACUCCUUUCGAUAGGGAAGAUUAUGACGGUACCUAUAGAAGAAGCCCCGGCUAACUUCGUGCCAGCAGCCGCGGUAAUACGAGGGGGGCAAGCGUUGUUCGGAAUUAUUGGGCGUAAAGGGUGCGUAGGCGGUUUGGCAAGUCUUAUGUGAAAUCUAUGGGCUCAACUCAUAGUCUGCAUGAGAAACUGCCGGGCUUGAGUAUGGGAGAGGUGAGUGGAAUUUCCGGUGUAGCGGUGAAAUGCGUAGAUAUCGGAAGGAACACCUGUGGCGAAAGCGGCUCACUGGACCAUAACUGACGCUGAUGCACGAAAGCUAGGGGAGCAAACAGGAUUAGAUACCCCGGUAGUCC
rnacentral:rRNA from 1 species